GAGAGUUGAUCCUGCUCAGACGACGCUGGCGGCGUGCUUAACACAUGCAAGUCGAACGCUGAAGCCUGGUGCUUGCACCGGGUGGAUGAGUGGCGAACGGGUGAGUAAUACGUGAGUGACCUGCCUUUGGACUCUGGGAUAAGCCUGGGAAACUGGGGUCUAAUACCGGAUGCGACUACUGCCCGCAUGGGCUGGUGGUGGAAAGGGUUAUGUACUGGUCUUAGAUGGGCUCACGGCCUAUCAGCUGGUUGGUGGGGGUAAUGGCCUACCAAGGCGACGACGGGUAGCCGGCCUGAGAGGGUGACCGGCCACACUGGGACUGAGACACGGCCCAGACUCCUACGGGAGGCAGCAGUGGGGAGUAUUGCACAAUGGGCGCAAGCCUGAUGCAGCGACGCCGCGUGAGGGAUGACGGCCUUCGGGUUGUAAACCUCUUUCAGCAGGGAAGAAGCGGAAGUGACGGUACCUGCAGAAGAAGCGCCGGCUAACUACGUG
rnacentral:rRNA from 1 species